GCAAAGCAGAAGCAGACAACUAGGCACAAAGCAACAGAGUUUUAAAGUUUUCUUCUCCUGCUACUACUUAGCAUGUCUUACAUGAGGAGUAUUUACCUUUGUUUAGCCAGGAGCAGAGAUGCAGCCUGAAUGUACACGAUGGCUUCUAACUUGGCAGCGUGAAUUUUCAGCUGAGCAGAGCCUAACAAAUAUCAUCAUGGAUGUGAUUUUUAAUGAUUUGGAAAAAAACAAAAAAAGACAGCCUGUGGAGACAGCGAUUCGAAACAGCGGCACAUUUAGGUUAUUGCCAAUUUGAAAUACUUGGUUUGUGAAGCUGAGCCCUAAGGGACAAGCUCGGUAACUGAGGAAGAGAUCGUAGAUAAAGAAAUAAAAAUGACAAGCGUAAUGGAGGCUCUGCGAAGGGACUGUCAGAGCAUCAGUUCAUGGAUGGCAAUUUCACCAGGCUGAGACUGAAUAAUUCAUAGAUUGAAAUUACCCUGCUUUCACCUUUCCAUUUAAGCCGGCAUGAUCUGAAUCUCUAAUAAAUUUUCAAGAUAAUGUAAAA
rnacentral:lncRNA from 1 species